rnacentral:lncRNA from 1 species
AAAAUUGGAAAAUUGUAAAAUUUACUUAAUAAAGCUAGGACUAAAGUGGAAUUAUCUAGAUUUCUCUUUAUUUUUCUGCAUUCUCAUCAGCAAAAUACCAUGGAAGAGUUCCCUUAAGCUGGUUUUUCAUAUUUUUACUGCAAGUAAGUUCAAUUCUUGAUUAUUUCUUGAAAUUUUUGUGUUUUUUUGACUUUUACAACUAGGU